rnacentral:rRNA from 1 species
UCCCAGACUCCUACGGGAGGCAGCAGUGGGGAAUAUUGCACAAUGGGGGAAGCCCUGAUGCAGCGACGCCGCGUGGGCGACGAAGCGCUCCGGCGCGUAAAGCCCUGUCAGCAGGGAAGAACAAAGACAGUACCUGACCAAGAAGCCCCGGCUAACUACGUGCCAGCAGCCGCGGUAAUACGUAGGGGGCAAGCGUUAUCCGGAUUUACUGGGUGUAAAGGGAGCGUAGACGGCAUGGCAAGUCAGAUGUGAAAGCCCGGGGCUCAACCCCGGGACUGCAUUUGAAACUGUCAGGCUGGAGUGCAGGAGAGGUAAGUGGAAUUCCUAGUGUAGCGGUGAAAUGCGUAGAUAUUAGGAGGAACACCAGUGGCGAAGGCGGCUUACUGGACUGUAACUGACGUUGAGGCUCGAAAGCGUGGGGAGCAAACAGGAUUAGAUACCCCCGUA